rnacentral:rRNA from 1 species
CUGAUCGCCAUGCCGCGUGUGUGAGAAGGUCUUCGGGAUUGUAAAGCACUUUAAGGUUGGGAGGAGCCUGACCUAAUAUGUUGGGGUUAUGACGUUACCAAAAAAAGCAGGGGGCUAACUUCGUGCCAGCAGCCGCGGUAAUACGAAGGGUGCAAGCGUUAAUCGGAAUUACUGGGCGUCAAGAUACGAAAAAGGUGGUUCAGCAAGAUGGAUGUGAAAUCCCCGGGCUCAACCUGGGAACUGCAUCCAAAACUACUGAGCUAGAGAUGGUAGAGGGUGGUGGAAUUUCCUGUGUAGCGGUGAAAUGCGUAGAUAUAGGAAGGAAC